rnacentral:lncRNA from 1 species
AAAAUGAGCAAAGUGCAUACCGCAUAGACUUUUAAAAAACCCCGAACUGGCUGUUGUAAAACAAUAUAAAUAAGAAAAUGACGGCUUAAUCUAUGAACAAAAAAUGAACGAAAAAAGUUAACAAAUCAACAAACGACAACCACUGAAUUAGUCUCCUCACUUGUAACAGGUACAGUUUGUGACACUACAACAUGAGAAAAAA